UACGAAGGGGGCUAGCGUUGCUCGGAAUCACUGGGCGUAAAGCGCACGUAGGCGGAUUGCUAAGUCAGGGGUGAAAUCCUGGAGCUCAACUCCAGAACUGCCUUUGAUACUGGCGACCUUGAGUCCGGGAGAGGUGAGUGGAACUGCGAGUGUAGAGGUGAAAUUCGUAGAUAUUCGCAAGAACACCAGUGGCGGAGGCGGCUCACUGGCCCGGUACUGACGCUGAGGUGCGAAAGCGUGGGGAGCAAACAGG
rnacentral:rRNA from 1 species